rnacentral:lncRNA from 1 species
GGCCCCUUUAAAUCCCAAUGGGCCUCAUAGGAUCCCAUUAGGGCCCCUUUAAAUCCCAAUGGCCCAUAGGAUCCCUAUAGGGCCCCCUUUAAAUCCCAAUGGCCCCAUAGGAUCCCAUUAGGGCCCCUUUAAAUCCCAAUGGGCCUCAUAUAGAUUCCCAUUUAGGGCCCCCUUUAAAUCCCAAUGGGCCCCAUAGGAUCCAUUAGGGCCCCCUUUAAAUCCCAAUGGGCCUCAUAGGAUCCCAUUAGGGCCCCCUUUAAAUCCCAAUGGGCCCCAUAGGAUCCCAUUAGGGCCCCUUUGGCCCCCAUUAGUCCCAAUGGGCCCCAUAGGAUCCCAUUAGGGCCCCCUUUAAAUCCCAAUGGGCCCCAUUGGAUCCCAUAAAGGCCCCCUUUAAAUCCCAAUGGUCCCCAUAGGAUCCCAUUCACCCCCAUUAGUCCCAAUGUGCCUCAUAGGAUCCCAUUAGGGCCCCCUUUAAACCCCAAUGGGCCCCAUAGGAUCCCAUUAGGGCCCCUUUAAAUCCCAAUGGGCCUCAUAGGAUCCAUUAGGGCCCUUUAAUCCCAAUGGGCCCCAUAGGAUCCCAUUUAGGGCCCCCUCUUAAACCCCAAUGGGCCCCAUAGGAUCCCCAUUAGGGCCCCUUUGCACAACCCCAUUAGUACCCCAAUGUGCCCCAUAGGAUCCCAUUAGGCCCCUUUGGCCCCCAUUAAGUCCCAAUGCGCCCCAUGGAUCCCAUUAGGGCCCCCUUUAAAUCCAAUGGGCCCCAUAGGAUCCCAU